rnacentral:rRNA from 1 species
GACGAACGCUGGCGGCGUGCCUAAUACAUGCAAGUAGAACGCUGAAGAGAGGAGCUUGCUCUUCUUGGAUGAGUUGCGCACGGGUGAGUAACGCGUAGGUAACCUGCCUGGUAGCGGGGGAUAACUAUUGGAAACGAUAGCUAAUACCGCAUAAAAUUGAUUAUUGCAUGAUAAUUAAUUUAAAGAUGCAACUGCAUCACUACCAGAUGGACCUGCGGUGUAUUAGCUAGUUGGUGAGGUAACGGCUCACCAAGGCGACGGUACAUAGCCUGCCUGACAGGGUGUUCAGCCAAGAUGGGACUGUGACGCGACCCAGACAGAUAGGGGAGGAAGCAGUAAGGAAGCUGCUGCAAUGGGGCGAACAGUGAACAAACAACGCCGCAUGAGAGAGGAAAAUUCGCGGGUCGUAAAGCUCUGUUGUCAGAUAAGAACGGGUGUGAGGGUGGAAAGGUCACACAGUGACGGUAACUGAACAGAAAGUGACGGAUAACUAAGUG